AUUGAACGCUGGCGGCAUGCCUUACACAUGCAAGUCGAACGGCAUCGCGGGAAACCUUGCUUUCCUGGCUUCGAGUGGCGCACGGGUGUGUAACACAGCGGAACGUACCGGCUAGUGGGGGAUAACCCGGCGAAAGACGGGCUAAUCCCGCUUACGCUCUUCAGAGGAAAGCAGGGUACCUUUGGGCCUUUUGGUUGUCGAGCGGCCCGUGUCCGAUUAGCUAGUUGGUGGGGUAAAGGCCUGCCAAGGCGACGAUCGGUAGCGGGUCUGAGAGGUCGAUCCGCCACACUGGAACUGAGACACGGCCCAGACUCCUACGGGAGGCAGCAGUGGGGAAUCUUGGACAAUGGGGGAAACCCUGACCGAGCAACGCCGCGUGGGUGAAGAAGGUCUUCGGGUUGUAAAGCCCUUUUGGCAGGGAAGAAAUCGGCGGGGCGAAUAACCCUGCUGGAUGACGGUACCUGCAGAAGAAGCACCGGCUAACUACGUG
rnacentral:rRNA from 1 species